rnacentral:ncRNA from 1 species
GUAAAUGCGAUGACGAGAAGAGUAAGUAAAGAGAACCUUUCCAGAGAGCUCCGGUACGCUGAGAAGGAGCAAAGCGUGACUUUACUGAAGAAAGCCUCUGAGCAGCACAUCGGAACGUGUAAGCGGCGGGAUGGUGUGACAGGAGCUCCUGUUAUAGAGCUAGGGUAUACGCUUGGCAGCGCCAGGCUGUACUUGAAGAGGUUAAUAUGGCGACAUAUUAACGAAGCUGGGGUGGUACCGCGAGCAUACCAAUCUCGCCCCCAAG